rnacentral:rRNA from 1 species
AAGGAGCUUGCUCCUUUGACGUUAGCGGCGGACGGGUGAGUAACACGUGGGUAACCUACCUAUAAGACUGGGAUAACUUCGGGAAACCGGAGCUAAUACCGGAUAACAUUUGGAACCGCAUGGUUCUAAAGUGAAAGAUGGUUUUGCUAUCACUUAUAGAUGGACCCGCGCCGUAUUAGCUAGUUGGUAAGGUAACGGCUUACCAAGGCGACGAUACGUAGCCGACCUGAGAGGGUGAUCGGCCACACUGGAACUGAGACACGGUCCAGACUCCUACGGGAGGCAGCAGUAGGGAAUCUUCCGCAAUGGGCGAAAGCCUGACGGAGCAACGCCGCGUGAGUGAUGAAGGGUUUCGGCUCGUAAAACUCUGUUAUUAGGGAAGAACAAAUGUGUAAGUAACUGUGCACGUCUUGACGGUACCUAAUCAGAAAGCCACGGCUAACUACGUGCCAGCAGCCGCGGUAAUACGUAGGUGGCAAGCGUUAUCCGGAAUUAUUGGGCGUAAAGCGCGCGUAGGCGGUUUCUUAAGUCUGAUGUGAAAGCCCACGGCUCAACCGUGGAGGGUCAUUGGAAACUGGGAAACUUGAGUGCAGAAGAGGAAAGUGGAAUUCCAUGUGUAGCGGUGAAAUGCGCAGAGAUAUGGAGGAACACCAGUGGCGAAGGCGACUUUCUGGUCUGUAACUGACGCUGAUGUGCGAAAGCGUGGGGAUCAAACAGGAUUAGAUACCCUGGUAGUCCACGCCGUAAACGAUGAGUGCUAAGUGUUAGGGGGUUUCCGCCCCUUAGUGCUGCAGCUAACGCAUUAAGCACUCCGCCUGGGGAGUACGACCGCAAGGUUGAAACUCAAAGGAAUUGACGGGGACCCGCACAAGCGGUGGAGCAUGUGGUUUAAUUCGAAGCAACGCGAAGAACCUUACCAAAUCUUGACAUCCUUUGAAAACUCUAGAGAUAGAGCCUUCCCCUUCGGGGGACAAAGUGACAGGUGGUGCAUGGUUGUCGUCAGCUCGUGUCGUGAGAUGUUGGGUUAAGUCCCGCAACGAGCGCAACCCUUAAGCUUAGUUGCCAUCAUUAAGUUGGGCACUCUAGGUUGACUGCCGGUGACAAACCGGAGGAAGGUGGGGAUGACGUCAAAUCAUCAUGCCCCUUAUGAUUUGGGCUACACACGUGCUACAAUGGACAAUACAAAGGGCAGCUAAACCGCGAGGUCAUGCAAAUCCCAUAAAGUUGUUCUCAGUUCGGAUUGUAGUCUGCAACUCGACUACAUGAAGCUGGAAUCGCUAGUAAUCGUAGAUCAGCAUGCUACGGUGAAUACGUUCCCGGGUCUUGUACACACCGCCCGUCACACCACGAGAGUUUGUAACACCCGAAGCCGGUGGAGUAACCAUUU